AUGGCACGACCAUCCCCCGGCGAGCAGCUCCUUCCAUGGUGCUCGUACGGCUCCUACCUCUCCACGGCUGUGAUGCUCGUCACCUUGUCUGCCUCCGCCGGCAGCUGGACACGCGCCCUCUCCAUAGCCGUCGCAGCCAGGUGCUUCGGUCGCCAUGGCCAAGCUGCACCCGGCCACGGCGACGGCGGCGAGUUUGUGCUGGAACCGAGGGGCUUUGCUGGAACCGAUAUUUUUUUGCUGGAUCCACCAUUUUGUUUUGCUACAACCCCUUUGUUUUUUGCUACAUCCUCAUUCGUUUUUUUGAACAUCUUUGUUUUUUGCUGGAACUGGUGCCCCUGUCUGCUGCAACUAGCUGGUGUAUGUGCUACAAGGUCGGUGCCUCGCCGGGGAAGCUACAUCGAGCAGCAAGGAGUGUUGUAUCCAACGCCGUUCGAACAUCGGGAGCUGCAAUCAUGCAUGCCGGAGCUGCAACCGGCUGCUGGGGGAGCUGCAAGAGAGGGUGGCAAUUUUUUGCUGAUGCAUUUUUUGCUGAACCAAUUUUUUGUUUUUGCUGGAACCGGUGUAUUUUUUUGCUGGAACCAAGAUAAUUUUUUGCUUCAUCGGUUGCAGAGCUCUCAAAUGCUCAUGUCAUUUUUGUUGGCACCUAAGUUUGUUUUUGCUAGAAGCAUUUUUGAUUUUGCUUCAACCGACCACCGGACUUCGACCUGGGGUGAAGUUUUUUGCUGGAAGAUUUUUGUUGCUUCCAGAUUUUUUGCUGCUUGGCACUCGAACCCGGCGAGCUGGAGACGCAGAGAUGAUGUAGCCAGCCACCCUGACUGCUAG
rnacentral:rRNA from 1 species